rnacentral:tRNA from 1 species
GAUAUAACCCAGUGGUAGAGUGCUUGCUUAGCAUGCAUGAGGUCCUGGGUUCAGUACCCAUCACA